GACUCGUGGCAGAUAGCUCAGUAACACGUGGCCAAGCUACCCUAUGGAGAGGGAUAACCCCGGGAAACUGGGGCUAAUACCUCAUAACGCUCCCUCACUGGAAUGUGGGGAGCCGGAAAUGUUCUGGCGCCAUAGGAUGCGGCUGCGGUCGAUUAGGUAGACGGUGGGGUAACGGCCCACCGUGCCGAUAAUCGGUACGGGUCGUGAGAGCGAGAGCCCGGAGAUGGAUUCUGAGACAAGAAUCCAGGCCCUACGGGGCGCAGCAGGCGCGAAAACUUUACACUGCACGAAAGUGCGAUAAGGGGACUCCGAGUGUGUGGGCAUAGAGCCCACACUUUUGUGUACCGUAAGGUGGUACACGAAUAAGAGCUGGGCAAGACCGGUGCCAGCCGCCGCGGUAAUACCGGCAGCUCAAGUGAUGGCCGAUCUUAUUGGGCCUAAAGCGUCCGUAGCCGGCCGGGCAAGUCCGUUGGGAAAUCUGUUCGCUUAACGAACAGGCGUCCAGCGGAAACUGCUCGGCUUGGGACCGAAAGACCUGAGGGGUACGUCCGGGGUAGGAGUGAAAUCCUGUAAUCCUGGACGGACCGCCGAUGGGGAAACCACCUCAGGAGGACGGAUCCGACGGUGAGGGACGAAAGCUAGGGUCUCGAACCGGAUUAGAUACCCGGGUAGUCCUAGCUGUAAAC
rnacentral:rRNA from 1 species